UACGAAGGGGGCUAGCGUUGCUCGGAAUCACUGGGCGUAAAGGGUGCGUAGGCGGGUCUUUAAGUCAGGGGUGAAAUCCUGGAGCUCAACUCCAGAACUGCCUUUGAUACUGAGGAUCUUGAGUUCGGGAGAGGUGGAGUGAACUGCGAGUGUAGAGGUGAAAUUCGUAGAUAUUCGCAAGGACACCAGUGGCGAAGGCGGCUCACUGGCCCGAUACUGACGCUGAGGCACGAAAGCGUGGGGAGCAAAGCAGG
rnacentral:rRNA from 1 species